GACGAACGCUGGCGGCGUGCUUAACACGUGCAAGUCGAACGGAAAGGCCCUGCUUUUGUGGGGUGCUCGAGUGGCGAACGGGUGAGUAACACGUGAGUAACCUGCCCUUGACUUUGGGAUAACUUCAGGAAACUGGGGCUAAUACCGGAUAGGAGCUCCUGCUGCAUGGUGGGGGUUGGAAAGUUUCGGCGGUUGGGGAUGGACUCGCGGCUUAUCAGCUUGUUGGUGGGGUAGUGGCUUACCAAGGCUUUGACGGGUAGCCGGCCUGAGAGGGUGACCGGCCACAUUGGGACUGAGAUACGGCCCAGACUCCUACGGGAGGCAGCAGUGGGGAAUAUUGCACAAUGGGCGGAAGCCUGAUGCAGCAACGCCGCGUGCGGGAUGACGGCCUUCGGGUUGUAAACCGCUUUCGCCUGUGACGAAGCGUGAGUGACGGUGAUGGGUAAAGAAGCACCGGCUAACUACGUGCCAGCAGCCGCGGUGAUACGUAGGGUGCGAGCGUUGUCCGGAUUUAUUGGGCGCAAAGGGCUCGUAGGUGGUUGAUCGCGUCGGAAGUGUAAUCUUGGGGCUUAACCCUGAGCGUGCUUUCGAUACGGGUUGACUUGAGGAAGGUAGGGGAGAAUGGAAUUCCUGGUGGAGCGGUGGAAUGCGCAGAUAUCAGGAGGAACACCAGUGGCGAAGGCGGUUCUCUGGGCCUUUCCUGACGCUGAGGAGCGAAAGCGUGGGGAGCGAACAGGCUUAGAUACCCUGGUAGUCCACGCUGUAAACGGUGGGUACUAGGUGUGGGGUCCAUUCCACGGGUUCCGUGCCGUAGCUAACGCUUUAAGUACCCCGCCUGGGGAGUACGGCCGCAAGGCUAAAACUCAAAGGAAUUGACGGGGCCCCGCACAAGCGGCGGAGCAUGCGGAUUAAUUCGAUGCAACGCGUAGAACCUUACCUGGGUUUGACAUGGAUCGGGAGUGCUCAGAGAUGGGUGUGCCUCUUUUGGGGUCGGUUCACAGGUGGUGCAUGGCUGUCGUCAGCUCGUGUCGUGAGAUGUUGGGUUAAGUCCCGCAACGAGCGCAACCCUUGUUCACUGUUGCCAGCACGUUAUGGUGGGGACUCAGUGGAGACCGCCGGGGUCAACUCGGAGGAAGGUGGGGAUGACGUCAAGUCAUCAUGCCCCUUAUGUCCAGGGCUUCACGCAUGCUGCAAUGGCUGGUACAGAGAGUGGCGAGCCUGUGAGGGUGAGCGAAUCUCGGAAAGCCGGUCUCAGUUCGGAUUGGGGUCUGCAACUCGACCUCAUGAAGUCGGAGUCGCUAGUAAUCGCAGAUCAGCAACGCUGCGGUGAAUACGUUCCCGGGGC
rnacentral:rRNA from 1 species